rnacentral:rRNA from 1 species
UACGGAGGGUGCGAGCGUUGCUCGGAAUUAUUGGGCGUAAAGCGUACGCAGGCGGCUUGGCAAGUCGAGUGUGAAAUCCCGGGGCUCAACCCCGGAAUUGCAUUCGAUACUGCCGAGCUUGAGUGCGGGAGAGGGAAGCGGAAUUCCUGGUGUAGAGGUGAAAUUCGUAGAUAUCAGGAGGAACACCGGUGGCGAAAGCGGCUUCCUGGCCCGACACUGACGCUCAUGUACGAAAGCGUGGGGAGCAAACAGG